rnacentral:lncRNA from 1 species
UGACGUAGAAAAGGGGCAGAAGUGAAGAGCCGAAGACCAGCGACGAGGAGAGGACGACGUGGCCGCCACAGUGAGAUCAAGACCUGCCGUGAGCGACCGAGCCACUUAGGAGUUGGGAGGCGGCACUGAGGAGAGGAGACGCGAAGGAGAGGUCAGAGGAGAGGAGAAGAGACGGUCAGUGGUUGGCGGUCGGCAAUGUUCGAGAAGGAGAGGAGAGGAGACGCGGCAGUCAACAGUCGGCGGUCGGCGGUCGGCGAUGUUCGAGGGAGGAGACGAGACGAGAUGAGAUUUUUCACGGUGAGGACUGAGGAGUGAAGAGAAGAGGAGUUUUU